rnacentral:rRNA from 1 species
GAUGAACGCUGGCGGCGUGCCUAAUACAUGCAAGUCGAGCGAACAGACGAGGAGCUUGCUCCUCUGACGUUAGCGGCGGACGGGUGAGUAACACGUGGAUAACCUCCCUAUAAGACUGGGAUAACUUCGGGAAACCGGAGCUAAUACCGGAUAAUAUAUUGAACCGCAUGGUUCAAUAGUGAAAGACGGUUUUGCUGUCACUUAUAGAUGGAUCCGCGCCGCAUUAGCUAGUUGGUAAGGUAACGGCUUACCAAGGCAACGAUGCGUAGCCGACCUGAGAGGGUGAUCGGCCACACUGGAACUGAGACACGGUCCAGACUCCUACGGGAGGCAGCAGUAGGGAAUCUUCCGCAAUGGGCGAAAGCCUGACGGAGCAACGCCGCGUGAGUGAUGAAGGUCUUCGGAUCGUAAAACUCUGUUAUUAGGGAAGAACAAAUGUGUAAGUAACUAUGCACGGCUUGACGGUACCUAAUCAGAAAGCCACGGCUAACUACGUG